GGUUUCGUGGUGUAGUUGGUUAUCACACUAGUCUAACGCACUGGUGGUGGUCCCUGGUUCGAGCCACGGCAAAAUCA
rnacentral:tRNA from 1 species